GGAGAAGAGCUGGUAGGGUUUUACUCCGGGGAAAGCGUGUUGUGACAGGGAGAGACAAUUGUUGUAGACUGAGUCGCAUGCUGAGUUGAACUCGGAUGAGUUUUUGAGUGAGUUGCUAACUCGCUUUGAAGCUGAGAGCCCCAUUACUGUAAGUAAAUUUUGGAUUUUUUUGGCUAUUCUGUGUAAUUUCCGUUUUAGAUAUUGUGCAUGGUGAUAUCAGAACUUUUGGGUACCUAAUUAUUUGACCCGGAAAAUUUACGGGUCGGAUCGUCGAUGCAACCAUAUCCACUUAUCCAGCCCAUAAAGAGGAGAUCCAGUUCCGGGGAAUUGCACAGAUAGCCCCUUUUUUUAAGAUACAGCCUAAGUUAUAAAAGUUUUGCAAUUUUAGCACUUUAAAAUAACUUUGUGCGCAGAAGUAUGAAGUUUUAUAUGUAUAUGAAAGUUUGGUUCGUCAAAGGCUAAUUUGAGAUAAUUUGAAAGCAAGCAAACUUCCAACAUUACAUGUGUGGAGUUUGAUCUUGCCAAAGCGUAUCUAUAGACUAUUUGAACGCAAACAAACUUCUUAUUUGCAAUUGAAGUUGUUUUUUUGGGCUAAGCUUUUGCGCAUCUUAAAUAAUUUCACGGGAUACGUAGCACCUUCUAUCAAUAAUAAGUACAAAAUAACUCUGUCUAUUGAGGCAGAAAUUGCCAAAUGUUUUUUGGGCUCUACUGAAGAAAAGAUUUGAAUUAGAGAGUUGAGACCUCGUGAUUCUCAAUCACUUCGUUGGCCGCUAGUCUACACCUUAUUUGGAUAACUGAAGUUGGUUUUACCAGACCAACUUCCAACAUUUUUACAUGUGCUGGUUGAAAGAUUAUUGACAAGAGAAUGUUGGGUGACAUGAAAUAUAGGCAUCACCUCAUGUCCCUCAAAAUAUUUUUUCUUUCUCUAGGAGUGCCAUAUAUCAAAUACAUUAAUAAAUAGUAGUAUCAAAUAACUUGAUCAUUCAAGAGAAUUAUUUAAGGAAAACUUAAUCUAAUUCUAAAUUCAUCCCGAAAGUUAAUUAAAAUUGACACAAAAAGACCAAGGGAAAUAUCAUUUUUCGAACAGACACUACACUGAAUAACAAAGACACUCCCACAAGAAAAGGAAAGAAAGGUAGGGACUUAUUUUUCCCUUACAAUAUACCCCUACCUUGCUAUACCUAAAACGCACACAAAAAAAGGAAAACAGACAAUCCCCUUUUACGGGAACUCAAAGCUUAAAUAAAUGGCAUCAUCCAUGCACAUUUUUUUAUGCAUGCACAUCAUCUCCAACCCAAAUAAGAUCAGAUUGUGACAUCCAGUGACAGGCCUCUCCUUUCCCUGGUGAAAAAUUCAACAUUUUGAAAGCUGCAUGAUCAGCCGGCCAUGAAGAAGUAUCCAUAUGACAAACAACCAAUGCUGUAUUGACAUGAGCAUCAGUCUUUAAAUCAACUAAGUCCACAGAAUAAAUAUUAGUUGAAGAGAGCAAAUGGCAAAUAUAAGUAGCAAAAGGAAGGAAAAUCUCAUGGCAUGAGACACUCUUUUGGGCAUUAAUUUUAUGAAAUUUAUCGAUUUUAAGUUUCUUUCCUGACCCUUCUGUGCUUUUUGUUGUCAAUGCAGUUAGGUGAUUUUUUUUCAAGAUAGUCUUUGAGAACUCUAUCAUUUCUUCUAAGGAUUUUGCACAUUUUUUAACUUCUCCUUUUAAAUUAGGUGCAUUGCAACUUUGAAUGGUAGUUUGAGUGGUGUCUUUUGUGAAUGGGGAGGAGAAAGUCUCAGGGAAUAAAUGUUGGAGGUGGUUUGAGUUGAUGGGAAUCUUUGAGGCAAUUUGAGAAGGAAGAAAUGAGCGGUGAGGGAAGG
rnacentral:lncRNA from 1 species